UGGCCAAAAAUACUGUAUUUUUAACCAGCAAGAUCAUUGGGGCAUUAUUAUACAACAUUAGGUGUUUUUUGCAAAACUAGUUCCCAUCCCCCAACAAUAGACAAUACAUGCAUUUGAAUGACAUUUUAAGAACAGUAAAUAUGAUUCUUUGAAAUACUGCAAGUUAAAAAUGUUUUCUGACAAAACUCCCUAAAUACAUAGGUCUAGUAAGGGUUUCCAACAUGAUGACAGGAAGGAAUCCAGCAAGAAGUUGCAUUUAGAGAGUUCUCUGAGGAAAAGAAAUCCACCAAAAACAUGGGCUUCAGUGAAAGUAACCUGGACAAAGUUACAUGGUAAGUUUCCAUCUUUUUUUCCUAAAUGUAAAAAUACUCUACUCAAGAAUCCCUUCCUGCCUGUUAUUAUUUUUUCUACCAAAAGCUUAUAUGAAAGUCAGAAUUCCUUUAUCCAAGUAAGAUCCAAUGUGACCCAAUAGAUGUUUUCCUAACAUGUAAAUGUCACUUCCUAUUGGGUUGGAAUCAUGGGGAAAUGGAAAAUACAUGGUAGAUAAGGAAGGUAAGGAGGAAAUUAGUAUUUGAGCACCUACUAUGUGCUAGGUGUGUAUGUAUACUUUGAACAUAUGAUUCUAGAGGGAAGAGUUAUUGAAAGGGCGGUGGUAGUUGAGUAGACAGCGGGAAAUGGUUUGUUAUUCUGUGAGAAAAACAAAAGACACAUUUCAACUCGGUACUAAGUUAUCUACUAAACAGCAGGUGUCUGGCUCUGAAAAUCUCUAGCUAAUCAUAUACAACUAAGCCAUUUCUUUUCCUAAUUUGAUGGAACCCAAAUGAAAACCAAAGACACAGUUACCAGGACAGAUCUAUUAACGCUACAUAUGCUGGAAAUACGUAGAGAUAGAUAAACGUACAAUAUUACUAGUUUUCAUUUUUUUGUGUGUGUGUUUCCAACCAAAGAAAAUAUAUGGAAGAAAAUAUUAAAGUAUACCAAGCACACCUUAUUUGUAUCAACUGAGAUGUUGUUCAUUACCAAUUAAGUGGUUUUAAACCCUUAUUUAAUUUUAAGAAGAGCAGCAAUAUACAUUACAAUAUUUGGGUACACUUUAUUUUUAUACGGGUUAACAUUCUGCUAUAUUUCAUUUCAUUCGUUCUGUUUGAGAAACUGAAAACAAAGGGAAAUCGGGGGUAAUCUGAAGGUAAUCAGAGGGUAAUUUCCAACCGGUAUCUGAGUCUUGCAGUCUCGUUAUGCAGCCCUUUCUUCCCAUUUUUUUUUUUAUUUUUUGCAAAUAAUUUUGAUCCAAAUCCAGCAUAAAUAGCUUUUCACCAAUUCUAACUUAAGACAACUAAACUUUACAAUCAUAUGGCAGUAUAAAUUUCAAAAUUACAGUUCGCACACCUUGACGAUCAAGAUAGUCUGAAGUACAAAAAGUAAAUCGCCCUUUAACUGGAUUACCUUGGUCAAAUACAGGCUGGCUACUUAAUCUACAAAAUAAAACGAAAGAAAAGAAGAUACAAGUUUCAGGUGUUUUUCAAAUACCUUUUGUAGAUGUCAACUGUUAGUAAACAACAUAUGCAGGUUCCCAAGAUUCGGUUUUUCCAGUCUAUUCAUGACAUUCAACAGAGCUCUUUAUCAUGGAAAUGUUCAAAACGAAAACAAAAACAAGAAACUUCUAGGGGAUUGAUUUACUUUUGAAUGGGUGUGUUAUUUCCCUUUGUUUCAGAGAUGAGGCACAAACUUUGAAUUUAAGCUCUGUAAGGCAUCGUAGAAACCUCCAAUUUACAAAUAAGGAUUCUUUGUGGGUUGGAACUGCCAUGUCACGCAAAAAAGGGAAAAAUCAUCUGUAAACUGGUACACUGCAAUGUGUUAAGUGAGUCAUGAAAUGGCCGCUUGCCUUGGUAUGCUGAAGACAGGUUUCUGUGUUUUUGAGUAAGACAUGCCCAAGUCACCAUAAAACUCGCCACAGAGCUCCAUUACCUAGAGCAUCAACAACAGGAGCUCAGUGGCAGACGCUUACAACGCUUGCAAUCACAAUAUAAUAUAAAGCAGGAGUAAACUUUGUUUUUUAUACAAAACUGAAAAGAAUCCCUUCCCGCCCCAGCCCCUUCAAUAAAACCCCAAACAAAGAAACAGAAAAGAAAAUCCUUUAGCUUCGAUUGACUAGUGUGGAUACGAUUAGGUUUCUAUGCAUCACUGCUGCUAGGGUGAUCAAUUUUUUCCUUUCUCAAGAGAAGGGAUCUUGUCAUGCACCCUAGGAAGAACAGCGAAGCUACAAACCUCAAUUCUGCAUAGCAAAUUCCAUUCCAAUUUCAUAAAGACAAAUAGAACAAUCUUUCCCUGUUUUGCUCAGCUGCUUCGAGCUUUGAGAUCAGGUUUAAUCGCCUACAUCUACUAUAGCUCUAUUAGAUAGAAUAUCUUGAUUCCCUAAAACUGUAACACUUAAGAUCUUGUGAUGAGGUUUUCUCUAUACACACUGUAGGCCUUCCAAUGUUGUUGUUGACUUUUUUUUUUUAAUUUUUAUUAUUUUAUAUUUUUUUGCUGCACCAAAUUUAAGAUCGCCCUUUCAGGCAAGCAGUGGUCUCUAGCUGUUAAAACAUUUCCUUAGUGGAUCACAAUAGCUUCUAAAACUGCCUUUCUAAUAAAGGCCAUCAGAGAGGUAAUGCUAAACUGUGCAUUUGCCAAAGAAGAAUAUGAAGUGUAUAAAAGCUCAUAUUCCAAUCCUAGAUCAAGUGGCAAAAGUUCUACAAAGUUGGUUUCCAUGUUUGUAUAAAAGCUCCGACUGAUUUUAUAUGUAUUUUGCUAUGAAAUUACCUUUGGGUCUUAGAAUCAGUAUACCUCUACUCAGGAAUGUGCAAAUGAUUUUAUACAGCACGAUGCUAGUACCGCUCUGUACGAUAGUAAGGUUUUUGUUUUUCUUCUUCUCUAAAUGGAAAAAAAUAUCCCUAGUCAGAAAUAAACUGACAAAUUUACAUUCUCCUCUCUUAAAAAAGUAAAUAAAAUAACAUUAUUCAAAAUGUGAAUUAGCUAUAAGACAUACAAUUACAUAGAUACAUAUCAAUACAGCACAUUCAAUCUGCCAAAAAAUUAAUGAUUACAAAGCCGGUAUGGAGGCUGCCAGAUGGAGAGAGAUAGACGCACAAUGAUUAGAGCAUUCGGAAUUGCACUACACCUACAGGCAGGUGAAGGAAAUGAAAUGACAGGUGCUUUCUGAGCAAGGGGGGAAAAGUAACCUGUGCUGUGUGUGGCUGGGAGAGCAAAGAAUGAGAACAUCUUGUCAUUGUUUAGUAACUGUGGUGCUCAUCCAGUGGGGCGCUCAUGUUCUCUCUCCCCUCUGUCGUUCUGAAAGAGUGAUUUCUAUGGAUGCUUUGACUACUGCCAAAUAGUUCUAUAGUUAGAAUGAGUCCAGCACCUUGGCCCAAAACUUCCCAGCAGCUUUAAAACUAGGAGAAUUUAUUUUCUUAAAUCACAUUACAACUCAAACUGCUGGACAGAAGCUCAUCAAUACAUGUGCUGUAUUUUUUGCAUUUGUUGAAAAACUGCACACACAGAACUCCAAAUGCCUCUCCUAGCAGGUUCAGUUACGUAAAUACAUGUUCUGUAGAACACUGAGAGGUUACUUGUAAGUCCAUAAAUCUCUUUAAGUUCAGCUUAUCCAGUCACCAGUCUAAGAAGAUCUCGAAGGUGGUAAACUGGUAAUAACUUUGGAUUUUGCAAAUGAAAGGUGUCAGAAUAAUACUAUCAACCGAUGCGCUUGGCAGACUUAUUUGAACUUAAAGAAUACAAAAAAAAGUGAAAUUGGCUUCACACAAGGAGACAAGCAGAUUUCAUGUAAACCACACAGGCUGCUUUUGUACACUGCCCAUUUGGACACUCAGCAUGGGACGUGGACACUAAACAAUGCACUAUUGAGGCAAAGGAAAAGAUGGACCAUGAGACUCAAAUGGACAGUUACCAACUGUUGGCAAUUGGUGUCACCGGUUCAUUCUCAGUCAGCCAUUUUAGGCUUCACAGUCUUUACUCCCUUAUGUGUUAAGACACCGGCUUUCAUUUCGAAAGUUCUUAUUCAUUUUGUUUAACAAAAAGCCAGCUUUGGCAACACAUACCUAUAAUAAAAGUCACUUUAAAACUGUGGCCCAAACACGAAGGGAAAAAAAAGAGAGACGGUUUGAACCAAAAAAAAAAAAAAAAA